rnacentral:rRNA from 1 species
GGAAAGCUUUUGUGGUUUUGGAUGGACUCGCGGCCUAUCAGCUUGUUGGUGAGGUAAUGGCUUACCAAGGCGACGACGGGUAGCCGGCCUGAGAGGGUGACCGGCCACACUGGGACUGAGACACGGCCCAGACUCCUACGGGAGGCAGCAGUGGGGAAUAUUGCACAAUGGGCGCAAGCCUGAUGCAGCGACGCCGCGUGAGGGAUGACGGCCUUCGGGUUGUAAACCUCUUUCAGUAGGGAAGAAGCGUAAGUGACGGUACCUGCAGAAGAAGCGCCGGCUAACUACGUGCCAGCAGCCGCGGUAAUACGUAGGGCGCAAGCGUUAUCCGGAAUUAUUGGGCGUAAAGAGCUCGUAGGCGGUUUGUCGCGUCUGCCGUGAAAGUCCGGGGCUCAACUCCGGAUCUGCGGUGGGUACGGGCAGACUAGAGUGAUGUAGGGGAGACUGGAAUUCCUGGUGUAGCGGUGAAAUGCGCAGAUAUCAGGAGGAACACCGAUGGCGAAGGCAGGUCUCUGGGCAUUAACUGACGCUGAGGAGCGAAAGCAUGGGGAU